AAAUCCGCGUCGAAAUGCGUAUCAGAUGCGCGUUUACAAGUUUUUUUUUUAAUCAUCUGUAAAUGCACUAUCUGGUACGACAUUUCGGUUUGCGAAUUCCU
rnacentral:pre_miRNA from 16 species